rnacentral:rRNA from 1 species
GAUGAACGCUGGCGGCGUGCCUAAUACAUGCCAGUCGAGCGAACGGACGAGAAGCUUGCUUCUCUGAUGUUAGCGGCGGACGGGUGAGUAACACGUGGAUAACCUACCUAUAAGACUGGGAUAACUUCGGGAAACCGGAGCUAAUACCGGAUGAUAUUUUGAACCGCAUGGUUCAAAAGUGAAAGACGGUCUUGCUGUCACUUAUAGAUGGAUCCGCGCUGCAUUAGCUAGUUGGUAAGGUAACGGCUUACCAAGGCAACGAGGCAUAGCCGACCUGAGAGGGUGAUCGGCCACACUGGAACUGAAACACGGUCAAGACUCCUACGGGAGGCAGCAGUAGGGAAUCUUCCGCAAUGGGCGAAAGCCUGACGGAGCAACGCCGCGUGAGUGAUGAAGGUCUUCGGAUCGUAAAACUCUGUUAUUAGGGAAGAACAUAUGUGUAAGUAACUGUGCACAUCUUGACGGUACCUAAUCAGAAAGCCACGGCUAACUACGUG